ACUGCAAAGCAAGGGAGUCUGUGUCUGCAGGGCAUUGGGUGUGCAGAGGAAUGAGAGGAUAAUAAAGAAACAGGCCUGGAGAGGUAGUAAAAAGAAAAGGAGGAGGAUGUUGAGUCAUUGAGGAAAAGUUAAAAAAAAGUGAAAGUAGCUGGAUGAGAGAAUACCGCAGAGUAAGAAAUAUGGAUAUCAAAGACUCUACUCCUAGUAAUGGUCUCUGUGGUCCACAUUCAUCAGCCUGUCCAUGUGUCACUGCUGCAUGCGUAACCCUGUUAAAAGUUGGUACAGGUAAAAUUUCAGUAUAAUAGAGUAGCAAUUAAGUUAUAGGUUUUCUUUCAAUGUUUUCUGCAAUGUCGUGGAAUAUCUGUUAAAACCGUGUGUGCUGACUGUAUUUUCAUUUGGAGGAUUUGUAUUUAAAUGUGUUUGAUUCAUUUGUGAAAAAGAAAUACUUUUGUUUGUCAUUUUAUUGUUGUAACCAUUGUGUAAGAAGGGCAGGAAGUGACGUGUUGAGGAGACGCUGGGGAGAGAGAAAAAAGGGGAGAUGGAGUGCAGGGUGGAGUGGUUGUGGGAGGACAACGAAAGGACAAAGAAAGUGAAUUGUGGACAUUUAUCAAAAGUUGAUCAACGUGUUCGACAAGGACUGUUGAAAGUUCAAUUGGGAUAGUGUGUCGUUUGAGUGGACUACUCAAAUCACGCCGUAACGUAACCACACGGCUACCACAGGGGCUAAGUGCAUGCAUUGGACUUGGCUUGGGCGCUAGCAACCAGCUAACGCUAGCUAGCAAGGCCUGUGUGUUGGACCACGAAGGAGAGGACAGGGGCGCUAGCGUCGAGCUAAUGCGGCUAGCGAGGCUGUGUUUGGACUUCAAGGAAGAAAAAGGGACGAGGACCGUGAGGACGCUGGACAGAGGAAAAACCACCUUCACCUUUCCUGGGUAUGUGGAAUGCUUGUUAGAAGAGCUCCGGACCCUCUAUGUGGAUGUGGACGUAACGACUUCCUCUGCUGACACCCAACCACCACCACCUCUCAGCAGCCAGUACACAAAACCAAGGAAAGACUUGGCUAUUUGGGAUCAUUUUUCAAGAUUUUCAAAUCAAAGCUGUUGAAAUGAAAGGAAAGCAAAAACGGCUACCUGAAAUUACCAAAAUGGGCUGAGGAAACUCCACCCGAUGGCGUCCUUGCAAAUGACAGCCUUUGCAAGAUCCCUGACUUGGAAAAGAACUGCAUCAUGUUUGUAAAACUGUGCGUGGGUUGCUCUCAAGUAUAAAGGCAAACUACACGUGGGAUAGCUGCAGUGACAUCAGCGUGGUUGCCGCACGUGUGAAUAUACAGCUCUUAACACUAGUUUGAAGUUCUUAAUCUUUUUGAAGGCAUAAGAUAUAAAAUGAACAAACUGUCUCGUCUGGGAUAAUGUAGACCACUGAUUUCCAACCUUUAUAGAGCCAAGACACAUAUUUUACAAUUAAAAAAUCCCGCGGCACACCAACAAAAGUAAAUGUCACCAAAAAUGGAUCAAUUAAUUACUGUAUGUACUUCCUGCCAUCUAAUAGAAGAGGAUUUUUUUUUGUUCUGUCUGUCAUUGUGCCUCACUGGCAUAAAUAGAUGAAUAAAGAUACAUUAUUUCUUGGAAAUGUGGUUUUUUUUUUAGCAAUUACAUAAAAUUGGAUAACUUCCCACGGCACACCUGAAGAGCACACACGGCACACUAAUGUACCCCGGCACACUGUUUGGGAAUCACUGAUGUAGACACCUUGGAUUAUAAACGUGAUUAUUGUCCAGCUAUGAUGGCACAUAUCACAUGCCACAAUAUCUUUUACAGUGCACGUUGACAGCUGAAUGAUGCUCACAAACAGUUUUAUGGUGAGUGUUAUUUUUGCUCCCUCUUUUUAAAAUACAGAACUAGCUGUUUGUCCAUUGUAUUGUCUGUGCUUUUAUGCUUGAUGAGCAUGGGCCACGGUGGAAAUUUAACACACACUGCCUCAUCGUGCACAAUUUGACUGAUUGAAUUAGUAAAUCCAAAGACAUAACUUUUGCUAUGUCAGCUUUCUGGUGUCCUCAGGUACUCUACCAUGUGAUUGUGAAUUUGUUGAACUGACAGCAGAGAUGCAUUCCUUUUGAUGGGUAGGAGAUGAGAAUUUUAACUUUGGGUUUGAUUUGUUUACCAGUGUCAGGUGGUUCCUUUUCUCUGUCUUUGGUGCUAUUCUAACUGCUUUCAAAUGACUUGUGCAGAAUGUGACGCUUGAGGUAGUUGAACUUGCAUUCUGGCCACAAGUUUCCUUGCGAAAACUUGCUUUCUACUUUGGCUUGGCAACAGACCAGACCAGACCAGAUCUUUCUUGCUUGAAAAACAGAAAAUGUCAUCCAGAUUCAUUGCAUAUACUGUACUCCAACAGCAUUUUAAAAUAAUACCAUUUCUUUUUUUGUUUUUUUACUUUCCCCAACAUUAUCAAGGGUAAACAUAAACAGCGUGUCUAGCUCGUCUUCGCUCGACAUUGCUCAGACCACCUUACUAACUCAACACCAGUGGUGGGCGGGGCAUAAGGAUGCUGUCAUGGUAAACAAC